rnacentral:rRNA from 1 species
AUUGAACGCUGGCGGCAGGCCUAACACAUGCAAGUCGAACGAGUGGCGGACGGGUGAGUAAUGUCUGGGAAACGGCCUGAUGGAGGGGGAUAACUACUGGAAACGGUAGCUAAAACCGACUAGCUUCAGAUGUGCCCGGAGUGGAUUGGCGUGUGGGUGGGGUAACGGCUCACCAAGGGCAAGAUCCCUAGCUGGUCUGAGAGGAUGACAAGCCACACUGGAACUGAGACACGGUCCAGACUCCUACGGGAGGCAGCAGUGGGGAAUAUUGGACAAUGGGCGAAAGCCUGAUGCAGCCAUGCCGCGUGUAUGAAGAAGGCCUUCGGGUUGUAAAGUACUUUCAGCGGGGAGGCGUUACCCACAGAAGAAGCACCGGCUAACUCCGUGCCAGCAGCCGCGGUAAUAC